rnacentral:lncRNA from 1 species
CGCGAGCUGGGGGCCCUUCCUGGGGGUGGGCGGAGCCCGGCCCGAGGCUCGUGCCUUCCCGCAGCUCCGGGGAGCUUCGCCGUGUCCCAGCCCCAGCCCAGACCCCGGCUGCAGCGAACACCGGUGGGCCGUGCUGCCCCCAGCCCGGAGGAUGCGGUUCUCCUGGGGCAGAGAUGGGGCCGGGCCCGUGAAGCCGGGUCCCCAGCAGGCCUGGCCUCCGGCAGCUUCCUGCCCCAGUGUGGCCCCCGCUCGCCUCGACUGGGAGACGACCACAGCGUGGGGUCCCCGGCCGCCCCUCGCAUCCGCCAGGGCCUCCCAGAGCGACACCCGCUCUGGCUACCGGGAAUGCAGGGGAAACGCACACUCAGGACUAAGGAGUGUGGCCCCCACUUUAGAGGAGGAACUGCCCAUACCACUUUCCCCAGAGUCCACGAGACGGUUGCCCAGCUGUGCCGGCCUGCUGCCCAGGCCCCUGCCACCCCCAAGCCCACCCACAGCCCCCUGGGCCUGGAGGGGACCUCAGUUCAGGUGGGUCAGCUGGUGA